rnacentral:lncRNA from 10 species
GUAAGUCUAUCUCCCAUCUCUUUUCCCCUGUUACCACCUGCUCAUUCACCCCUACCUCCUUCAUUUGUCAUUACUGGGUUAAUAUCCUUUAAAAACUAACAGGACCUCCGCUUCUGGGAAGAUGGAGUAGAUGUACUUUUCUCUAUUCUUUCUGUCAAGUACAACUAAAAACCCUGGAUAUUACAUAAAUUAUAAAUAAUUUAGUAAGUAUGUAAUAUAUAAAAAGCCUCUUAAAAGGCAGAGAGAAGAAGGCAGACCAGCUAAGGACCUCAGGACCCAAGAAAUGGUGCAGUGAUGAGUUCUCUAGGUUUUCUUUUUGUUUCUUAUGUCCCAGACUUGGAGUUGAAGCAGCCGGCAACCCAGAAAUACCAGUAAGCUCAGACGCAAAAAGCCCCAACAAAAAUUUGCUCUCUCUAGCCAAAUGACCAGUGCAGUAGGACAGAACAAGUGGGUUUGUUCCAGGGAUAUAAGGAUGGUUCAUUAUUUGAAAAUUAAUCUCAUCCACCAAAUUAAUGAACUAAAAGAAGAAAACUUACAUGAUGCUCUCUAUCAAUGCAGAAGAUGCAAAAUUUAGCACACAUUUAUGAUUUUAAAAAUCUCAGGAAAAAUAGACAUAGAGGGGGAUUUUCCUGAACUUGAUAAAGGGUAAACACCAUAAGCCUUCAGCUAACAUACUUAAGGGUGAGACUGAAUGCUUUGUCCCUAAGAUGGGGAACAAACCAAGGAUAUUAGUUCUCACCGCUUAUCCAACAUAGUGCUGUAAUUUCUAGCCAGUGCAAUAAGGUAAGAAAUGGAAGUAAAAGUCAUAUAGAUUGGAAAAGAAGGAAUAAGACCCCAUAUUUGCAGAUUACAUGAUUGUGUACAUAGAAGAUCCCAAGGCAUCCACAAAAAAACUCCUAGAACUAAUAAGUAAGUUUAGCAGGGUUACAAGAUACAAGAUAACACACAAAAAUCAAUUGCAUUUCUGUAUACUAGCAAUGAACAUAUGGAUAUCAAAUUUUAAAACAAUACAGUUUCGACCGGAUGUGGUAGUUCA